UGCAACCAUGAUCCUUAUUUUCAUUUGGGCAGUACUCGUACUUGAUGUAGAAAAUUGCAUUUCUGGCAUUGAGUUUCUCGUUUGGCAAAGCCAUGUCCUCGUCGCUAGUAUACACCGCUACUUUAGUAAUGACCAACUUCGACAGAUCAAGCUGCAAAAAUACGAAGAAAGACGUGUUGUUAUUAUUGACAAUAGGCAGGAAAAAAAAAAGAAAAGAAGAGGUGCCUACACUUCGAAUGCUCGAAUUUGGAACGAGGAAUGCAAGCUCAAGGUAUACACGAAUCCAGUCAUUUUCUCGAAGCUCUGAUUUCUUCACCUGCGAAAAGAAAACACAUCACUUACAACAGUACUGGACUACUAGCUAGUGUGAAAAAAAAAACAAUAGUGAGCUUUUUAGUUUACCACGUAAUAAUGCUUUUUAUCAUCGAAAGCAUUCUCUCCCGGCCACUCAGGCAAUUCACUUUUGUCUUCAGAUUCAUCAUCAGAUUCAUCAUCAGAUUGAACCCAUAAAUUAUAAGCAUUAUCCUCCUCUACACACAGAGAUAUAAUUCACAUUACAUUACAUUUCAACAAUUAUUCAUUAUUAUGGAAAUAUAAUGUAACAAAACAGGCAAGUUUUUUUACCAUGUGGUCCGGGCUUGGGCCUAGCAAUAAAACAAGACAAUCUCUUGACCCCAUAGACUUCUUCAUAAAAACUGGUCUGGAAAGUUACAAGGGAACCGCCGGCAGCAGGAUCCUUUGCAACUGCGGUUACAAAGUGAAUGGAAUAAGGUAUUUUAUGGAACACAUUGUACUUCUCUAUGCCAUUCAGCUCCAAGUUAGUCCCCUGAGAAGAAGAAGUAUUUAUUAGAUUGCAAGAUCAAGAAACAAAUACUACAAGUUUUUUAAAUUUUUGUCACCUGGAUCAUAUUGUACUUGUGGAUCCCCAACCUAGCAUAUAGGACGAUGUACCUGGGGGCGGGUUUAUCCUUUGUGAUCUCCAAAGCCAUGAAAUUACAACGGCCUGGUUUUGCUUUCAUCAAAUGCUCGACAUCGAACCCCUAACCAAUAUUAUAGGGUAUAAAUAAUAUAUAUUCUGUGGAUUGAUUCAUUACAAAACCAAAAGAAGAUAAAAAGACUUACACCACACUGUCUCACUUUCUCCAUAAACUCACGCUCCUUCCUGAAUCCCUCAAGCAUUUUAGCCGAGGAAUCUCCCAUUAUUUUUUUUUAACUUUGAUCGACGGAAACAAGCGGCGGCUACUUUCAAUAUAGAUUGCUUAGGUUUCCUCUCGUGAUAUGUAUAUACACACAUUCGAUCUUCCUUUAUUGGGCCUACAAAGCCCAAACCGUUUUCUAUUAAGUCCGUUAUCUUUAGGCCAAUAUCCAAAACGAUGGUAUAACAAAGUUUGUCUGAUUUCAAAAAUAGUUAAGUAACGGGUUAACUCAUUGUUGCCCAAUCUUUUUAGUCUCGUUGUCGAAGGUGAUUGGUAGUUGUUGUAGGUGCUGUCCACAGUCCUAUUUAUUUUUAAAUCACCAAAUUUAAAGCAAUCAAGUUUUAAAUUUUUUUUUGAAACCACAGCUCUUGAAAUAACCUAUAGCUGUACAAGUGCUCUGCAGAGCCAAAUAUCCAAAGCAAUUUUUUAGUGAUUUCCAUAAAAUUCUACAUCAGUAAAAUCUAAAGCCACAGCAAAAAAUUUACAGAUUUUUUUCUACACCAAAAAUUUUUAAAGUUACAGCCCUUACCAAUUAGAGCCGUAAUAACAUGUUCUUUUCUAUCGAAUAGAAUAAAGAAUUUUUUACUCUUUAAAACACUUUUUGUCUUUCAAAUUACACAAUAGGUCACUUGUUGCUGAAAGCACACUUUCUCUUUUGUGCAAUGUACUAUAUGCCCUCAACCCUUCUUAACUAAGCUGUCACUUUCCCUUCUUAAAAAAAACCCGAUUAAUCAGUUUCUGAUUUUUUAGUUUUCAAAAACGAACCUAUAUUCUCUCUCCAACUUUACUUUUUCAGAUUCAGAUUUACUUUCCCCAAUUUGACGGUCCCUUCGGUUACUAACCCUAAUUCUGUGAACCCUCUUCUUCUUCAUCUUCAAUUUCUCCAUUGAACACCGUGAAACAGAGGUCCGCCGCGAGUUUGAUUGUGUAAUCUCAUCUACACGGACUUGGGAACUCUCGAGAAUCCUCCACCGAGAUAUAUAUGUACGACAGUCUGGUUCUGUGGUUCUCCCUUGGACGAAUCUCUCUAAUGUGUUGUGUCUUGAUUGGAUUCAGCUUAGUUCCUACUGAUGAAACCAAUCUCCAUAGCAAAGGUAAACAUUAAUCUGAUAUACGGCGCGUAAUUGUCGAAGUUAUCUCCUCAAAUACACUCCCAAAUUGAUUUGUUUUGUUUUGUUUUGGAAAUUCCGUUCAAUAACACAAACCAUAAACGAAAAGUUUGAGAUGAAAUCAUGAGGAAGUUGAGAAGUGGGGAGGAAAUCAAGAAGGAUUUGAGAGUUUGAGACAAGCAAAAGGUGGACUGAGUUCGUUGAUUGUCUCUGUUUCUCGAAAUCGUGGUAAGAUUCUUUUUUGUUUUCUUCACUCGUAAUUUUGUGUUCUGAGAAAUUGAUGUUCUGAAAAAUUGAGGAAAACGGGUUUGAGUUUAGUUUGUUUGAUGUGUUGUGUGCAUUUUCUCCAUGAAAAUAUGAACUAUCUUUUGGUUGAUAUCAUUGUAUUGUAUUGUUUGGUAUUGAAACACGCGUGGUUUAUUUUUUUGUUUUCGUUUUGUCUAAUUUGAUGUUUGGUUGUUGUUUCGUCUUUGUAUAUGUCAUCGUCUUUGUGUUUCUAUGUCACUGUAUUUUACUGUGUUUUGUGUCUCGUUUGUGGUAUCAUGUAUGUGUGGUGUGGCAAAGAAAUUGCAGACAGUGUCACCUACCAACAAUGUUACCAAUCGUAUAACUUCUGAAAGUUUUUGCUGGCUACAUGACAGGAUCCUUGAGGAGAAUCUAAGAGGUCAUAAAGCUCGAGAGUUGAUGCUGACACCUAGUGGUGUUUGUCUUUCAUAUUUUGUCCUUUAGUUUGGUUUGAGUCGUUGCCUCAAGACCUUUGUUCUUUCUCUUAAGUAAUGAAAACGUUUUCGUCUACAAAUUUUUAUCACCAGAUUCCGUCCAUGUCCACAAAUUUAAUCCAUGUCCAUGUCCACAGAUUUAGUCCAUGUCCACAUAACCAUUUACUAUGUCCAUGUCCACAUAUUUGUUUUACGUAAAUGUUAAUAAAUAUAUAUGAAAUGGAUGUUAAAAGAUAGAAAAUCUUAUAAAUAGAUUAUUAUAAUAAUUCUAUUUAUUUUAUUUAUUUUACAAUUGAAAAUAAAAUCAAUUAAAAACAUUAGGUGGUAUAAACAGUAAUAAAAUAAAUAACCAAAAAAAGUUUUAAAAGAAAAAUCUCAUCCACUAAUAGAAGCAUUAACUCACGUCCUAGUUAAUUUACUUUAUUAUCACAACCACAAGUCCAACUAGUUUAUUCUGCUUGGGAGGGCAAAAGAGUCCAUAAAUCGCCUAGGAAACGGAGAAAGUGCUCCUCAGGCACAAUGUGUCUUAUGAUGAAAAGAAAGUGACAAAAGUGCCUUAUAAAGUAACUCACUCUAGAAUAAAAUGCCUUCUACGAGUCAUUUAUCAAUUUGCAUCGUAUUUUAAACCGGUUAAACUUGAAACUAAAAUUCUUAUUAAUUUAAAGUGUUUAUAUUAAUUUGUAAAGUAUUAAUUUAUAGAGUUUCUAAUGUAUGUAACUUUUGAAUCUCAUCUGAAUUAGGGGUUGACAUUUUAUUCAUAAACCGUAACCGACCCAAACUUGAAUCUAUACUAAAAUACAUGGUGGAUCUUUUUUUGGACCUGCGGGUUUCGGUUCGGAUCUGGAUCCUAUCCGAGACUCGAUCGGUAUCCGAAAUAUCCAAAACUUAUUUUAUAUAUUAGAUAUAUUUGUGUAUUUUGGUAUAUUUUUGAUAUUGUGGGUAUUUUUAAGUUUCAUAUUUAUAUUUUUGGGUAUAUUUUCGGGUCUCGGGUAAAAAUUUUGAUCUUCGAAAAAAUAUAGAUCGGGUACUGGGGUAAAAUUUCAAGUAUUUUCAGUUUUUUUUUUCUAAUCAGAUUUCAAAUAAUUUUUUCUAAUCAGAUUUCAAGUAGUGUCACCCCUCGAUCCAUCAGUUCUCAAUCCCCUCGGAUCUGAGUUCAUAUCAACCAUACCUAAAGAGUGAUCCAUAUUUUGGUUCUAUCAGUUGGUAUCAGAGCCACUUGGCUGGUUUGUUUUCAUUUCAUCUUUUCAUCUUCUCAUCUCUCCACGAUUUUCUUUUCUUAUUUCUUGUUGGAUCCGGGCUGUUUCUUUACUCCCUUGUGAUCGCCAGUUAUUAAAAAAAAAGAGAAAAAAAAAAUCGAUCAAAAAAAUAGAGUGAAAGUUUUGGCUUAAAUCACUUCUGAAGAGAAAUCCAGGGGGAGUGGUGGAAGAGAAACUCUGCUUGCUGAAGAGAAACCCAGCCUUAGGACAGUUAAGGCGGAUCCACACAAAAAUCUCUUCAUUUUCGUUCUCUUUUCUUUUACCACAAAGUUUGUAUUGGGUUUUGAUUGCUGAUUUUUUACUGCCUAUCAUCCUUUGAACCAGUGAAAGAACUCUGAGUGACCAUCUAAAAAUCGUGAGCUAAACACUCGAGAGUGUGAGGAUUUUUAUUUGCUAACUUUGUUAAGUGUUUCAGGAUGUUUGGACUUCUCAAGAAAUCAAAACCACAACAAGACGUCUACUUUCCUUUUAAAACUGUUUUUGAAAAGGAGAAAUUGAUUUUUGAUAAGAAACAGUUUGCUUCUAAUGGGUUUGACUUUGUGCAGAAACAAAGGAAGAGACAAAACAGGUGCGAUGAUGAGAAGUGGGCCAGAAGUGGUGAUCGUCCCUUCACCAAAGCCAAAAGAAGCAAUCGUGAUGUGCCUGAUCAGAACGAGCUUCAGACUUAUGCUAGUUUGGAAAAGAUGUUGCAUAAGGCGAUUCAUGUUGUUCGACAACUCAAAAAGAAGGGAAACACAAACACUUUUUCAGCACUAAAACAACAAAGUAAUUCUUCUUCUCUUUCAAAUUUUGAUUUGAAAACUAAUGUGUUGUCUUCUGAUAAAAGCAAGGCUCUGAAAACCACAAGCAAGACUCUUUCUACCAGAUGCUUCAAAUGUCAUAGGGUCGGUCAUUAUGCCAACAAGUGCCAAAAACAGAAACCGUUGGUGACUUUGGAGAAAGUUGAAGCUGAGCCAGAAAAGGAAGACCCUUUGCCAAUUUUCGAUGACUAUGCACAUGAACCGAAGGAAGGGUCAGGUGGAGAGCAAAACUGUGGCCAUCAAGCCGUCCCGCGUGCGUACCGAUUUGAGCUUCGGCUGGAACCACGACCAGACGACCGACUUCCCCGUACUGAAGCUCGUCUUCCCCGACCAACUCGACAUUCUAAGACCCAUGGUCGAGUAAGACUUAGCUUGGGUGGUGAAGAAACCAAAGACGGACGUGCAUUCUCAUCCGGCGAACCAUCCGGACAGUCCCGCAAGCGUCCUUAUCGUUACCCCGUGCAUCCAUCUGGUUCGGAUGAACCUGGACAUCUUGACUAGUCUUCUCCAUUUUCCGUGCCUUGACCAGAUCUAGUCUUCUCCAUUUUUCGUGCCUUGACUAGAUCUAGUCAAAUUUGUAUUUUCUAUGCAUUGUUUUCCCACAUUUUCUUUAAUUGUCUUUGACUACAAAACACUAUAAAUAUGUAGUCCCUUUGAUGAAUAAAAUCAGUUCAGUUUUGGUUGUUUAUUUCGUUUCUACUCUGAGUGAGAGAGAGAGUUCUUUAGCUAGUUCAUUGGUGUGAACCGGCUUGUUGAUUUGGUGGUCAGCCAAUUCAUCUUUGUGUGUUGUUUGGUGGUUAGCCAACACAUUCAUUAUUUGUUUGGUGGUUAACCUUAGAUCGUGGGUAUAUCAAGAGCCAUUCCGCAUCUCUUGACGAUCCUUUCAAUCCAUCUCAGUUCCAGAAGUGUUGUUUGCCUUCUCGGAUCAUAUCCAACACCCAGCUAAAGUGAUCCUCCCUAUCUUAGGGUUCUUCACUUGGUAUCAGAGCCACUCUUCUGGUAACUCUAUUAUCAUUCCAUCUUCUCAUCUCUCCAUCUUCUUCAAACAUUUCUUCGUCUACCUUUCUUGAAUCCGGGCCCCUCAUUACCAUCCAUAUAUAAAAAAAAAAGAAAAAAAAAAGAAAAAGAAAGAUCUAUCCAAAAAAAAAGGAUUCAAAAGAUUGAUUUGUGGUUUGGUGGUGGAAGAGAAAGCCUGCUGGCUGAGGAAAAAUCCAGCCUUUGAGGUGGUUAAGGCGGAUUCCAAACUAAAAAUAUCUUAUCUUUCUAUCUUGAGAAAAACCCUUUUGUUUGCUUUGGAUCUACCCAUUGAGAUUCUUGAUCUGUUCUCUUAGAACUUUGAGAGACAACUCUUGUGUGACCAUAAAAUUUGAGUGAAACACGUGUGUGGGUGAGGAUAAACACUUGAGUGCGUGAGGAUUUAUCUAACCUUUGUGUUGAGUAAUUAUUUCAGGAAUAAGAUGUUUGGUCUUCACCGGAGAAAUACCAAGGAGAAAUCCCCACGACCAUCAGCCUCUCAGUCUUCAUUUAAAUCUUCUUUGAAUUAUUUUGAUGAGUGUGCUAAUGUGCAGGAAAAACCAAACAGGUGGAGCAAAGAGCAUGUCAAUACAUCCAAAGGUGAAUCUGAUCCAAGAAGGCGAUUGCUUCAGUUUGAUGUCCAACAAUUGUGUGAUAACUUUGUGAAGGGUGUGGACAAAGCCCUCAAGGACGUCAGCAAGAGCCAAAAGAAGAGCACAUCCACACGUGCUCCAGUAGCUGAGCCAUCAUUUUCCAUCAGUAAUAAAAACCAAGGUGAAUUUGAAAACUGUUUUGAAGAAUUUAAAGAUUUUUCAGAUUCUUCACCUAUAUUUGAUGAAACUGAUGAAGAACCAAUUGAAAAUUUGAUGUCUUGUGAAUAAAGUUGUGAUCUUCCUUAUCUUGAAUCUGAGUUUAUAAAUGAUAAUGAACAAGCUAAUGUAGAACUAACUGUUUUGCAACCGGAGCAUCCGAGUAGCCUUGUCUUGUCUCAACAGGUUUUUGAGGAAGAGCCACUGGAUAUUCCACAUCAGUGCCCAUGUCUUGACACUUGGAUAUCUUUGGAUGAAGUCUCAGAACCUAUCUUUGAUGUGGAGGACGAACCUGAUCCAGUCUUUGAUGAAGAAGCAACAAGCAUCAUGUCCACCUUUAUGGAGAGCCAUCUUUGCUUUGAUUCCGGCACAACUACUGCUCCUUCAUCUCCUGCCCCUUUGCUUUCUGAUCUUCAAGAGCACUGUGAGAAAUCUAAAUUAGUUAUUUCUCUGCCUGACAUGUUUGAUAAGAUCAGUUCUCUUGAUGUGAUUCGUUUUGGUCUUGAUAAGAUAAAAGAAAAUUGUUUUUCUGUUUUUGGAAACAUGAUUAAUUCUUUUAAAAUCUUUGAACCUGAUAAAUUUCUUGAUCAGCAACGUUUUCAAAAUAACCUUGGCAUCAGUUCUGAAAUUAUUUUGAGCUUUGAUCAGUCCCUCGAACAAAGCAAAGUUUUUGAUCAUUUUGAAAGUAUCUUGAGGUUGAUUUGAUUUUUGUGCUACAAAAUCUUUUGAUUCGUUUGUUUUCAAAGAAAAUAGCUUUGAUCUGAACUCAUCUAGGCAUAGACUGAUCACAGAUGAUUUGUUUGUAUUUUCUCUGGACUUGGACGAUUUCUUAAUUAAAAAGAUGCAGGAACAGAAUUCACUUGAAACUGAAAUUGGUUUUUGUGAACUUGAUUUUUGUGAUUCUGUUUUGCAGCCUGAUCUCUUGAGUUUUGAAAAUGAUAAAACUUUGAAUUUUCUGAGAUCAUCUUGUGAGAAUUUUGUUGAUUUGAGUGUUGAUGAUAUAUUGGUCUACAACACAUUCUUUGAAAAAUGUCUUGAGUUUUUGAUAGUUGUUUCUCAAUCUGAACUUAAGCUUGUGUGUUCAGAUGUUGAUAAUGAUAUGCACGUUUUGGAAAUGAUUAAUGUUGUUGCAUAUCAUGAUAAGAUUCUUGUAUGUAAUGUCUACUUUGAUUUGCUUCUUGACAGGCUGAAAAGUGUGCUACUUGUUCUUGGAAAUGAUAUCUUAAUUUUUGAUUUGAACAAGUAUCUCUUUUGCACAUUUGAUCCUGGUCUUUUAGUGUUUGUUUUGAGUAUCCAGGAAAGACAGGUUCAGCCUCUGAAUGCAAGCAUUGGCCGUGCCCAACAACCUCAGAUUUGGAGAAGCUUUGUUGUUCAAACCGGCUACCUUGAUGCCAGAGACAGAGGUUCAGUCCAAGAAGGAUAUCUCAACAGUCCGAAGGUAUUUUGUCUUGAAUCCAAUUUUACUCGAAAGCCAACUCAUCAAGGAUUCACUGAGGCUUGGAGUCGCAUGAAAACCUUCACGGAUGAAGAAGUUAUGAAUUUUCCAAACCAGAGGUUCUUCAGUCCGCCUAUCCGCGAGUACCAGAUUUCUAAAGGAUAUUCAUGCCCCAUAAAAAAGCGGCCUGAGCCAAAACCGAUCAUAGGGUUCCAGGUGGAUCUCCCAGCUUCUCAGAAAGACCGAAAUCAGGAGAAAUGGCCAUGGAAUUAUGAAGUUAUGAUCCAUCCACCAAAACCGGCCAGACCAAAGACAGCACAACCUUUUUCAUUCAGCCAAGAACCCGAAGGUACUUCCAAAACUUCUACUUUUAUUUGUGCUGAUGAAUCUGUUUUGAAGCUUGAUAUCUUGUGUGUUAAAACUGAUAGACCUUGGCUUGUGUUGAGAUCAUUUCUUAAAAAUUGUGUUGUCUUGAUUUUUGAUGUCAUCUUGGUUUACAACACAUUCUUUGAUGAAUAUCCUAAGAGCUUGGAUCAUGUUCUUGAUGUCCUAAGGAUAGAGAAACUCUUUGAUUAUUUCUCUCGCAGAUUUGAUGUGGUUUCUCUAGUUGUUUUGAAAGUACAUGAUAAGCAUGAUCAAUUCCCAAGAAGAAAAAGCACUGGUGAACGCCAAAGGUCUUAUGUAUCAGGGACAUGGAACUGGAAGUACUUAGGAAAACAAGUCCUAAACUCCAAGGAAGUUUAUGUCCAUACGUUUCCUUCAUUGAAUUUUAUAUGAUUUUAAAAUUAGUUUUGUCUUAUUCAUUUAAUUUUGAUACAGGUGAAAUGGAUUUGAGGUCAAAUCCUUUUCAAGAGGGAGGGAAUGAUGUGCCAUGGGGUAGCGCACCGGGUAAAACAGACAUGCAUGGCUUGAUCAUGGAAAGUAGAAAAGAUAUAUGUUCAUUGUUUGACUCAUAUCUUCCUAACCACGAGGCUUCUACGCAUGAAAUAACUUGGAUAAUGUUCUCAACUCAAUUACAGAGCUCCUAGAAGAAAAAUCAGAUCAAACGGAGUUCAUAUGUGAUAGUUAUGCUAUUUACAAAUCAGGUGAUCUUCAGUUCUCGCGAAUUCAGACCACCCGAGAAGCUCGAAAGGGUUAACCUUCUUUCUGAUGAACCAACGACCAAUUCAAUCAUUCCAAAGGUGAUUAUUCAUGUUCCAAAUGUCCAAGAAAGCAUUGGGCUUGAUCGUUUUCAAAAAGAUUCAAAAACGAGCUUGUUUGGGCCAAAUGGAGAAACCGAUAAAAUAUUGGCUAAGGAAAAAGAUGGAUUUCGACCAAGCCUCAAAGGGACAUGACUUGGCCCAUAUCAGGAGUAUAUUCUUCACCUUUCAAAGUCCUGGUCGUGGCUAUAUCAAGAGGUAGUCCAAAUUUCAGUCAAAGACUUUAUUUAGUCAAGUCUUUGUUUCUAUUUCCAAUGUCAUGUUUUUUAGCACAUUCUUCUUUGGAUCUCUACAACUUGUUAUUUAUAUUCUUUGGAUCUCUACAACUUGUAAUCCUAUAAAUAAGGCCUAAGAGCCACAAAAUAAAUCAGAUUGUUUUCCCUUUUUUAUGAGUUUAUCUCUUUGUUCUUUGCUUAGAACAUUCAUACUUCUCUUGGUGAGGUCAUCUCCAAGCGAACCACUUCGUUGUGUUGGACCGGUGCGUCACAUCCGGCAACCUUCGAAUCUCUGGUAGUAUCUUUGGGCUAUUCUGCAACCCUUAGUGUUACCCCUCGAUCCAUCAGUUCUCAAUCCCCUCGGAUCUGAGUUCAUAUCAACCAUACCGAAAGAGUGAUCCAUAUUUUGGUUCUAUCACGUGGGGUCCAGUUACAAAAAAAAGAAGAAGAAUAUAUGUGGUCCACAGUUAGUACAUGUGGUCCACAGUAAGUACAUGAGGUAACAUAUUAAAUGACAGGUGGACCUUUUCGGUGGGACCUAUGGACAUCGUUAUAGUUGCAUUUCUUUUUUAUAACUACAUUCGAUUUAAUUUUGUAUUUAUAGUUUUGCAUGCAUGUUGACGCGAUUAGGCUGAAAAAUUGACUAAAACCAUAUUUUUAUGCAAAUUUGUACGAAGAAUAUAAUACUAGCUUCUUGCAAGUUACAUGAUCUGAAUCAUCUGAUGCAUGAUUCUCAAGAUGUACUUCAUCAUUUCACACUUCCAGUUUCGUCCUUUAACCAUAUAGACGUUGAAGAGAUAUAUAGAAGAAAGUGUCAGACCAGAGUCAAGAAGAGCAAUGGCGCGAGCGAGAGGAACGUCCAGUCCACUAACACGUGGAGGCAUGUUUUUCCAGACCAACCCAGACAAAUUCAGAUGGUUUUUAACGUCGACUUUCACCUUCCGUAAUGUACAAGGUACCAUUCAGAUAUAACAACUUGUUUUGAGUUUUUUUUUGCUUAUAUUUUUUAAAUUUUAUAUGGCUUCCUUUUUUGUGUCUUAGAAAUAAAAAGGUCCCUUUUGUAAAACCUAUGGAGUCUUUGGUACGUAUUGGAUUAUCUUUGUGUAUGUGAAACAAUCUACUCAUUCUGUUCCUAAAAGAUCCAUGUUAUAGUUUUUUCACACUUAUUAAGAAAACAUUUAAAAUUGUAUUUCCCAAUACAUUGUCUUUCUUAAUUAACUAUUCCCAAUAACUUUUAACCAAUGAGAUUUUAUUAAACACAAUUGUAAUUUUUGAAAAACACAAUUUUUCAUUAAUUAAUGUAUAGAAAAUGUAAAAAAUGUAUCUUUGUGAAACAAAUUUUUUUUCUAAAAAUGGAUCUAUAAGGAAUAGAGGGAGUAUACUGUUUAGACUUAGUUAAUUUGUGUGGUUAAACUUUAUGAAAUAGUUUUUUCUUAUUAUAUUAUUAGAUAGAUUCUUAAUCUGCUUUCUUGGGAUUUGGAACUCUACAUAUGUUUCCAUUCUGUAAUGUACUGCUUUAAUUUCUUUGGAUUUGGAACUCUACAAAUGUUUCCAUUUUUGUUUAACAAUUAACAAUUAACUGUGGAAAGGCUUUUAAUUCUCUUUAUAUUUAUAUAAGAACAAAAUUUAGGUUCACCGACUACGGUGAACUUUUAAAUUCACCUCUCAUUCUAAAACCAAUUAAAGUGUCACAUAGUUUAAAUUCACCUCUCAUUCUAAAACCAAUUAAAGUGUCACAUAGAUAAUUAAUUAAAACAUAUUAAGUUUAUUUAAAAAUAACUAAAAAAAGAAUUUUAACGACGACGCCGCCAGCUAAACUGUAAACCCUAAAUCUUAAAUUCUAAACCCUAAAUCUCAAAUUCUAAACCCUAAAUCUUAAAUCCCAAAUCCUAAACCCUAUACCCUAAACCCAAAUCCUAGACGUUAAACACAAAUUGUAUACCCUAAACCCAAAUUGUAUACCUUAAACCCAAACCAUAAAUCCUAAACCCAAACCAUAUACCCUAAACCUAAAUCCUAAAUCUUAAACUCAAACCUUAUAGCGUCUAGUUUUAGAGUUUGGGUUUAUGGUUUACGGUUCGAGUUUUAAGUCUAAGAUUUUGGUUUAGAGUGUACAAUUUUCACUAAUUAACGAUGUCAACUAAUAAAAUCAGAUUAAUUUAAUUCCAGCGGUUUUAGGAACAUAUAUAUAAACGAAAAAGCAUCAAACGGCUAUAAUUGGCGUUACAGUUUUCCUAAAACGAGAGGAAUUAAGAGAGUUUUUUCUCGGAUUAUAUAAUUUUUAUAUUCGAGUUUCUGAGAAAACAAUUUGAUUUGUGGUGGCUUCAACAAUCACCUUCCUAGCAAAGAAAAAAAAAUUCCCGAGAAAGUCAUAUAAUUUCUUCUCGGUUAAAAUCAUGUCGGAUGGAUACUAUUACAGUUCUAAGAAAACUGACGAUGUCUGCGAAGAUGUUUGUGGACAGGUGAGACUUCUGAUUCCUAAUCUCUGUUCCGUUUCGAUUCUCAUCGAUUUCAUGAUGAUUCGUUUUUUUUUUGUCCUUCUUUGGCAUUAACGAAAUCGAGAUUCUGUUACCAAUUUGAUGAGAAUUGGUGGUAAUGCCAUGUCAUAUGGUUUGUUGUUCUUAUUCUUACCAUAAUUGUCUGAACACUACAAGAAAACACGCCGAAUUCCUACGGAGGUUCCGACGGACAUCAAUGUCGUCGGACGUUUGUGACGGAUUGCCGACCAAUUUCCGACGAAAACCAAAAAUUUGAAGUCGUCGGAAUUCUGUCGGCCAUUUCCGACGGAAUUCCGACGAAACAUGGCUCGUCGGAAUUUUCCGACGACUUUUCGACAACAUUCCGAUAAAAAAUUUAACCGUUGUCGUCAUCAGAAAUUCGUCGGAAUAUACCGACGAACCGACGAACUUCCGACGACAUUCCGAUUAACAGAUAUAACCGUUACAGUCGUCGGUAUUCCGUCGGAAUUUUCCGACGAAUUUCCGACAAACCAUGUGACCGUUGCCGACAAAUAUAUAUGACCGUUGUAUAGCCGUUUGAGAUUGGAAAAUACCGACGGUAUUCCGACGGACUGCCUUACAUCCGUCGGAGGGCCGUAAGCAAUUUCCUAUAAAUACAACCCCUCCUCAUUCAAAUCAUUCACACUUCAUUCUCUCUUCAUUCUCUUUAGUCAUAACAAUUCCGUGAAAAUCAUGUCUUCAGAAGUUUAUUAUCGUUCAUGGAUGGAUAAACCUCAUUUGUAUCUGAACACCAAUUUGCUUACGGAAGAAUACGUUCAAGGGAUUGGAGAAUUCAUGAGGCUUGUUCAACAGCAACCGGAUGCAAAAAUUGGUAUGUUAAGAUGUCCCUGCUCUACUUGCAAUAAUAAUAAGGUUAUAAAAGAAUUUGAUGUUUGGACUCAUUUGUAUAUGAAAGGGUUUUCACGUAAUUAUAAAGUUUGGUACCUUCAUGGGGAAACUGAUUAUGAAUAUGGUAGUACUAGCGAACCUCAGCUUGUUAGUGAACUUCAGCCUGAUAUUAGGUUAGAAGAAUCUAGAACGGAUAUAGAUUAUGGUGUAGGUACUGAGCAGAUGGUACAUGAUCAUUAUAGAGGAGAAGAACCAAAUCCCGAAUCUAGGAGAUUUUUUGACAUGUUGGAUGCAGGAAAACAACCUUUGUAUCAAAAUUGUAGAGAUGGUCAUUCAGCCUUAUCAUCUGCAACUAGAUUAAUGGGUAUUAAGACAGACUAUAAUUUGGCUGAAGAAUGUAUGGAUGCGAUUACUGAUUUUGUCAAAGGUAUUCUACCUGAGGAUAACCUUGCACCGGGUUCAUACUACGAGGUUCAGAAACUUGUUGCCGGUCUUCAACUACCGUACGAAGUGAUAGAUGUAUGUAUUGACAACUGCAUGAUCUACUGGAGAGCGGAUGAGACACGAAAUGUAUGCAAAUUUUGUGGGAAACCUCGUUAUCAGGAGACGAGGGGAAGAGUUCCGAUCCCGUUCAAAAGAAUGUGGUAUUUGCCUUUGACGGAAAGAUUGAAGAGGUUGUAUCAGUGUGAGCGCAUAGCAAAAGCAAUGAGUUGGCAUGCAGAGCAUUCCACAAAUGGUGAGAUUAGACAUCCUUCAGAUGCGAAGGCUUGGAAACAUUUCCAGUCAACAUAUCCAGAAUUUGCGGAAGAGAGAAUAAAUGUUUAUCUUGGAUUAUCUACUGAUGGUUUCAGCCCAUUUGGAAAGCAUGGAAGACAGUAUUCUCUAUGGCCAGUUAUUGUGACACCGUACAACUUACGGCCGAGCUUGUGCAUGCGACGAGAGUUUUUGUUUCUCUCAAUUCUCGUCCCCGAGCCAGAUCAUCCUAAAAGAUCACUAGAUGUGUUUCUUCAACCACUGAUAUAUGAGUUGCAACAACUAUGGGCGCAUGGUUUUGAGACAUACGAUGUUUCGUGCAAAGAAAACUUUCAGAUGCGGGCAGUACUUAUGUGGACAAUAAGUGACUUUCCAGCAUAUGGUAUGUUAUCUGGAUGGACAACACAUGGGAGGCUAUCAUGUCCAUAUUGUCAAGAUGACACAGAUGCUUUCCAACUAAAGAACGGAAGGAAAACGUGUUGGUUUGACUGUCACAGACGAUUACUACCACCUGAUCAUCCAUACUGCAAGAGUUAUGUGAGUCAUAUAUCAUAUUACCCUAUGCAAAUGAUUAGUUUAAAUUUAAUAUAAACUAAUUAACUUUUCAAUCAUAUAUGUUUUUAAUUUAUAGGUGAAUGAUGGUUUGGCCAGAGGUCUUGUGUUCGAUGAUUGGAUACGCGAAUUUGUGCAAGAACCAAACUAUGUGGUCAAAUCAUAUCCUAAAUUUUGUACGCGAGGAUAUGCAUUCACAAGGAAAUGUCAUUCUAAGACCACAUAUGAUGCUGGUGUUUCAUCUUCUUCCGGUGACGAUGUCUACUACGGCAACAUAAAAGAAAUAUUGGAAAUCUAAUUUCCUGGAAUGGUUGGAUUGCGUUGUGUAGUAUUCUAUUGUGAUUGGUAUGACACCACCCCAGAUAGAGGAGUGAAGAUUGAUGUGUUGGGUGUUACAUUAGUUCAUUCGCGGCGGAAACUUCAAUAUUAUGAUCCCUUCAUUCUUGGUUCGCAAGCUGAUCAGGUAUGUCAAUCUAUUAAUAAUUUUUUACCAAUAUAAUUAAUUAAUGUUAUAUAUUUUACUAAUACUUGUAUAAUUGAUAUGUAUAGGUGUGCUACAUCAGUUACCCUCGGGUGACGUACAGAGACGAUCCAUGGGUUACUGUAACGCAAAUCAACCCAAGAGGACGAGUGGAUGGAACUUCUGAUGAUGAUGAACCAUUGCAACCAGAGUCUACCAGCAACGCCCAGGCAGUUCAAGAUUUGGAGAAUGUUCAACUCGUUGAGAAUUUGACUGUGUUUGGACAUGAUGCUGUUGUACAUUCGGAGCCAGAAACCGAGGUUGGGGAGUUUGAUGAAGAUUCAGAAGAUUCUGAUUAGUUUUUUUUUUUUUUUUAUUGGUCCGUCGGAAAUCCCUCGCAAUAUACCGACGACAUAGCAACGACCAAGGGUUUCAUUGAAGUUUGGAAAGGUCGUCGGUAAUUCGUCGGUAUAUUCCGACGAAUUACCGACGAUGUGUGUUUCUAAAAAAUUUCAAUCAUAAAAAUCUAUAAAUUUAGAUGUCAAAACUAUGAAAAUAACACAUAAUAAGUGUUUAGUAUAGUAAUAGAUCGCAACCGUUCAAAUAUAACAACUCAUUAAAAUAUUUAUGUAUGCAUAUCAUUGUUUUCAUAACAUCUCAUCUUAACACUCAUAUACUUAUACAAUCAUAUUCAUAUUAUCUUACACUACAAAAAAUGUUGUUGUGUAAAAUCGUGCUAUAAAAACAUUUUUAUUAUUAAAUCUUUAUGCAAAUACUAUAUAUAUUAUCAAAGAUUUGGAUUUUGCAUUUAGAAACUUGUAAUCAACACCCUAAACACUAAGUCGUCGGAAUUCCGUCGGAAAAAGUCGUCAGUAUUCCGUCGGAAUAUACUGACGGACACAUUCCGUCGGAAUUCCAAUUUGCCCGGGAGAACCAAACCGCGUGAAAAUUUUCGCGAAUCGCCAAUUGGUAUAUUUUUAAUUAUACCGACGGAAUACUGACGAACUCGUGUCCGUCGGAAACUUUAGAUAUAAUAACCCUUCUUUUUCCUUCUUCGUUAUUUCCGCCUCUCUCUCUCAAACAUCCUCUCUCUCACGGCGAUUUCUCUCUCUCUCUCUCACGGCGAUUUCUCUCUCUCUCACGGCGAUUCCGGUCCUUAUGAACCUCCCAUCACCGGCGAAUCCUCUUCUCACCCUCAUAUCUCUUCCCCAAACCCCAAAUCAUGUAAGAAUCAUCCUAAACCUUGUUUUAUCUCAAUUGUUUAGGGUUUUGGAAGUUAGAUCUCGGAUUUUAGGUUGUUUGAUUGAAAAUUUUAGGAUUGAAUGGAUAGUUUAGGAUAUAUAAGUUAGGAUUGUUGUUUGGAUUGUUGUUUUAGUUUUUUUUGGAAUUCUUAUUUUUUUUUUGUUAAAAUUCAAAAUGUUUUACUAUUUUUAAAACGUUUUUUGAUUUUUAAAUACGUUUUUCAAGUUUCCAAUAAUAAAAUAUGUAAAAUAAAACGUUUUUAAAAUUUUUUAAAAAUAUUUAACAACAUUUUUCUAUAUUUAUAAAUUUUUUAUAAUUUUGUAUACAUAUAUAUAUAUAUAAAUCAUGUAUAAUAAAAAUUUUAAAAUUUUUUAUAAGUUUCCAGUAAUAAACUAUGUAUAAUAAAACGUUUUUAAUUUUUUUUUUAAUAUUUAACAACAUUUUUCUACAUUUAUAAAUUUUUUAUAAUUGUGUAUACAUAUAUAUAUAUAUAUAUAAAUCAUGUAUAAUAAAAAAUUUUAAAAUUUUAAUUAUUUUUUAUAAGUUUUCAGUAAUAAACUAUGUAUAAUAAAAGGUUUAAUAGUUUUUUUUAAAACGUUUAUAAAACUUUUUGUAAAUAUAUAAAUGAAAACAUUAAAAAUAGAAAUGAUUUGAAAAGAAUUUUGAUGUAUUAAUUUUUUUUUAGGUCCGAGGAUGAACCCUGCCCCGCAGCCCGUCUUCGACGUAGUUCGGUGAGCAGUUCCCGUGCAUCGGGAUCGUCUCAUGAACAAAACUCGGUUCCCGCAUAUAUUCCCGCUCCAGCUCCCGUUGCCCCUCCCGCUGCUGCUCAACAGGAUCCGGGGGUCAUGCCAGUUGAACUAUUGGUUCAACAACCAGGUUGAGAGCAUCUCCCGGUUCUCCAACCCAACCCACGACGAGGACAUAGCACUUGGUUAGUAUUUUUUUUAUUUCUAGCAUUAUGUUUUUUUCCAUUAAUUAACUUGCUAACUUGUAUUUUUUUUUUAAGGUUCACCAAGUCGAAAAAUGGCAUUAGCAGGAGCAUCAACCAGAUGAUGUACUCCAUGCUCCGUUUUGGAUAUUCAAAGUGGAGUGUGAUCCCUUCCGACGAACGAGAGUUGUGGUUUCGUCAGUUUGCGGUAUAGUAACUCUUCAUUUUUUUAAAGUUUUUACAUUUUUUAAAAUAUAUUUACUUAUUAAAUUAUGUUUGUUUUGUAUCAAGAGUUCAACUGGCACUCCGAUCUCACAGAAACAGUCCGUAAGAAAUUCAACGAAAAGGCCAUGGACUCUUAGACGAAGCAGAUAAACGCGUGGAAGACAGUUUAGCAGAAGAACAAGAGGCCACGGUUCAUCAACGGGACGGUGUGGGAGCAGUUGAUAGCUCAUUGGAGAAGGAAGAAACUGCAGAGACGUCUUCUAGGAACUCCAAGAACCGGAAGAGUGAUCGUGGCGGGAAAGGUAUGUAUGUGCACAACCUCGGCGCUUGCUCUAUGUCUACUAAGGAGGAUGAACUUGUAUGUUUUUUAUUAUUAUUUAUCUUUAUAUUUUUUAAAUAAAUAUUUUAUAUAUUCUGUGGCUAAUAAUGGCGGUUUUUUUAGAUCGAAGCAAAUGACGGUAAUCCCGUUGAUCGUCUCCAACUCAUUAAGGUAGCUCACACUAACAAGACGACGGGUCAAAUUCAGGACCCCGUGAUCAAAUGUGUCGUUGAUUUGGUGGAAGCUGAAAUAGCAAAUCAAUCUCAGCCUCUCUCUGAUGACGGUGAUUCUACGGGAGCUUCAACCAACUUGUCUCUAUUGCAAAUAAAUGAGAUGGUUGAAAAGGUAAUUUUUUUUAUAAUGUCGAUUACUAACUUGUCCAUAUUUACUAACUUAAAAUAUUUUUGUAGGCGGUUCCUAAAAGGAAAAGAGGUCGUUUAGUUGGGUUGGCCCGCCGUGCUUCUUCGUAUCUGGCAUCUUCUUCGCAAGCUCCGUAUGCCGAUUCCAUGAUUCUCGAGGAGCUACAUGACAAAGAUGAACGGAUUGGGGCAUUGGAGGAGCAGAACACCACUAUCCUUUCUGAGAAUGCCACUAUCCGUUCGGAGAAUGCCACUAUCAUUGCUGAGUUGGCAUCUCAGAAGAAGUUCAACACCGAGAUAAUGCAGAAGCUAAAUCGUUUGAUGUCUUCCAGUUCUUCUUAGUUUUUUCUGCUUUUUAAAACUUUCUGAAUGUUUUUUUUUUCUAUUUCGGUUAGUAUGAAUUUUAAACUUUCUGAAUGUUUUUUUCUAUUUCGGUUUGUAUGAAUUUAAAUUUUAUAAUAUUAUUAGUUUUAAAUUUCAGAUUUUUUUUAUUAAUUAAUUUUUAAUACAAAAAAAUAUAAAAAAAUGCAAAAUUAAUUCGUUUUUAAAAUUGGUAUAUUCCGACGAAUUCUGGGCGUCGGAAUAUACCGACGGACAACGGUUCCUCGGACAAUACCGACGGAGAGCAUUCCUCGAAAAAUACCGACGAACCAAUGUCUGUCGGUAUAUUCCGACGCCCAGAAUUCGUCGGAAUAUACCGAGGAAUCCACUCCGUCGGAAUUGUCCGAGGAACGUUCUCCGUCGGUAUAUAGUUUUUCCGAUGAACUCUGGUCUCGUGUGUCCGCAUCGUAAUAUCGUCGGAAGGUCGUCAGAAUGACGUUUUUUGGUAUUCGUCAGAAAGUCGUCGGAAGUUCUGACGAAAUUCCGACGAAUUUUUUUUUCCGACGAAACGAUACCGACGGAUUGGUUCGUCAGAAAUUCGUCGGAAUCGGUCUAUUCCGACGAAUUUCUGACGAUUUCGGCCAUCAGAAUCCCCAUGUUUUCUUGUAGUGAAAUCCAUAAGAUGAUUGUUUUGUUUUGUGAUAUGAUUUGUUUUAAGGUUUGAUUCUCUCUUUACAAUCUCCGUACCGGUUUACAAGGAUUGUUGAUUUGAUUCCUAACCGUCUCCGGUUUGUUUUUUUUUGUUCUCUAGAACGGUUCACGAGCAGCCAAGGCCUUGUCAAGAGUCAGAUGCUUACUACUAGGACUCGAUUUCAAAACCUACAUCCUCUUCUUCACCCUCGUCCCCUUACUCAUCUUCGGAGCCUACCUCCACGGCCAGAAGUUCACCUACUUCUUGAGACCCCUCUGGCAAUCACCUCCCAAACCCUUCCAAACCAUCCCCCACUACCACCACGUCAACGUCUCCAUGCAAACCCUCUGCGCCCUCCACGGCUGGACCCACCGCGACUCUCCUCGACGCGUCUUCGACGCCGUGCUCUUCAGCAACGAGGUCGACAUGCUCACCAUCCGAUGGAAAGAUCUCCACCCUUACGUGACCCAGUUCGUAAUUCUCGAAUCCAACUCCACCUUCACCGGUUUGCCUAAACCGCUGGUUUUCGCCGCGAACCGGGAAAAUUUCGGUUUCGUCGAGCCGAGGCUGACGUACGGGAGCAUCGGAGGGAGGUUCAGGAGAGGAGAGAACCCUUUUGUCGAAGAAGCUUACCAGAGGAUCGCGUUGGAUCAGCUGAUAAGACUCGCGGGGAUUCAAGAAGACGAUCUUUUGAUAAUGUCCGACGUGGACGAGAUCCCAAGCUCACAUACCAUCAACCUCCUUAGAUGGUGCGAUGGUUACCCGCCGGUUCUUCAUCUUCAGUUAAAAAACUACUUGUACUCGUUUGGAGAGGUUAUGUGCAUCGGUACAUCCCCGGGAAGACGCGGUACGCUCAUUUCCGACAAGGGGAUGUUCUUUUGGCGGACUCUGGUUGGCACUGCAGUUUCUGUUUCAGGCGCAUUAGCGAGUUUGUGUUCAAGAUGAAAGCGUAUAGUCACAAUGACCGUGUUAGAUUCUCUCAUUAUUUAAAUCCGAAAAGGAUUCAAGAUGUGAUAUGUAGAGGGACUGAUCUGUUCAACAUGAUUCCUGAGGAGUAUACGUUUAGGGAAAUUAUCGGGAAGCUGAGAGUUAUAAGUACUUGUUACCUGGGAACUGCGUAAGAGAAAGUGGGUGAAAAGGGCUUGCGCUUAUCAGGCUUUUGUAGUUUGUUAGGCGAUGUGGAGGGAAAUGGUACAGUUUAUUGAAGAGAGGGAUCUGAUAUGGAGUCUCUGGUGAGGGUAUAUAAACUUUGUCUGCUUAUUAAAACCGACUCAUGUUCCCAUGUUGUUUUUGGGGAAGUUUUGCUGGGAUAGUCUCUCCUCUCUCUUUCUCUUUACUUCAAAACUCUGUUUCACUCUCUCUUUACUUGUUAGUCUGUACAAUUCACUAGUGAUUUCUUUACAUUAUCCUCAUAUUCUUUGUAAUCUUUAUUUUUAAAAAUUCAUUCAUGGUUUGUUAUCCUCUUGAUCCAAUUGUUAGUUGCUUUUAAGCCUUUUCUCCCUGAUAAUGGCGCUGUGCCUACAAAACUUAAACCAAAUAAUUUGUAUAACUCUUGUUAUUUAAGAAAAAGUUUGACAUUAUUGUGAAAGACAAACAUUUGUUGAGUUGUUGAUUUCUCUGUUAUAUGAAUACUACACAUUUGCCAAUCUCCAUUGUUCUGUGUGGUGAAGAUAUUCUGGAAGAUAUUCCGGGUAAAACAGAUGUACGUUGAUUGUAGUCGCUAAAAGGCAACAUUAUAUGAAUACUAUACAUUUAUAUGGAUAUGGAUAUGGCACGAGAGAGGGUGCUGUUUGGUGUACGAUACGGUUACGGAUGAGUCCACCGCGGAUCUGCUUUGUGAUAAAGAUCUGGACUUGAUCUCGCGGCUUUGGGGAAUGAUGGUGUCUAGGCCUGCGGAUUCGAGUUUGUCUCAUAAGAACGCUUUGGAGCGUUGCGUUGAGCAUGCGAAGCUGUGGUUGGCUAACUCGGAUCAGCCGAUUGCUUCCAACUGUGAAGUUUCGUGUAAGAAAAAAAAAUACCAACUUUGUUUUUGAGUUUUGGUUUCUAUUUAUUGAGGUUUUCGUGUGUUUCAGAUGCUACCUUGAGAGAGAAGGUGAAGAAGAUUAUGGGUUCUAAUUACUUCACUAUUACUCCGGAGAUGGUAGUGGCCCCCGUUGAAGCAACGGCUGAAGCUGGUAGCUACGGUUCUUUCCAAGUCGCUGCUGACAGUGAGCAAAAGGUAUCCACAUUUUAAAAUGGAUAUGGUCUUAUAAAUUACUUAAUUAGAAGCUUAACAGAAAGACCAACGAAUACGAGCCAUAGGAUUGGCCAGUUCUCUGCUCUACAGAAAAAUAUCUCUCCAAUUGCAAUCGCCCUGGAACGAGAGAGUGGUAUCUCCAGAGAUCUUGUCCAUCUUUCUUCUUACUAUAGCUACGCCAUCACGUGUUGGCUUGCAAC
rnacentral:lncRNA from 1 species